rnacentral:rRNA from 1 species
GAUCCUGGCUCAGAUUGAACGCUGGCGGCAGGCUUAACACAUGCAAGUCGAACGGUAACAUAAAGUAAGCUUUGCUUCUUUGAAUGACGAGUGGCGGACGGGUGAGUAAUGCUUGGGAAUCUAGCUUAUGGAGGGGGAUAACUACGGGAAACUGUAGCUAAUACCGCGUAGAAUCGGAAGAUGAAAGUGUGGGACCUUCGGGCCACAUGCCAUAGGAUGAGCCCAAGUGGGAUUAGGUAGUUGGUGAGG